GACGAACCGUGCGAACGUUAUUCGGAAUCACUGGGCUUAAAGCGCGUGUAGGCGGGACGGCACGUCUGUCGCUGAAAUCCCCCGGCUUAACCGGGGAACUGGCGUAGAUACGACCGUCCUUGAGGGGCGUAGGGGGAUCUGGAACUUCCGGUGGAGCGGUGAAAUGCGUUGAGAUCGGAAGGAACGCCCGUGGCGAAAGCGAGGUCCUGGACGCCUACUGACGCUGAGACGCGAAAGCCAGGGGAGCGAACGGGAUUAGAUACCCCGGUAGUCCUGGCCGUAAACGAUGGGCACUGGGUAGGGGGCUCGCCGAUGGGCUCCCUGCCGAAGGGAAACCGUGAAGUGCCCCGCCUGGGGAGUAUGGUCGCAAGGCUGAA
rnacentral:rRNA from 1 species